rnacentral:rRNA from 1 species
GGGGGGUGGCUGGGCGAGCCUGAUCCAGCCAUGCCGCGUGUGUGAAGAAGGUCUUCGGAUUGUAAAGCACUUUAAGUUGGGAGGAAGGGCAUUAACCUAAUACGUUAGUGUUUUGACGUUACCGACAGAAUAAGCACCGGCUAACUUCGUGCCAGCAGCCGCGGUAAUACGAAGGGUGCAAGCGUUAAUCGGAAUUACUGGGCGUAAAGCGCGCGUAGGUGGUUCGUUAAGUUGGAUGUGAAAGCCCCGGGCUCAACCUGGGAACUGCAUCCAAAACUGGCGAGCUAGAGUACGGUAGAGGGUGGUGGAAUUUC